GGGGCAAUGGCGUAGUUGGGAGCGCGUUUGACUGAAGUAAGAACUUCACCACUACGGGAUUUGGCCCAGCCAAUUCCAGUUAGCAAUCAGAAGGUCACCGGUUCGAUCCCGGUUUGCCCCA
rfam:Paracoccidioides brasiliensis Pb18 unplaced genomic scaffold supercont2.5, whole genome shotgun sequence.